rnacentral:rRNA from 1 species
UACGAAGGGGGCUAGCGUUGCUCGGAAUCACUGGGCGUAAAGCGCACGUAGGCGGAUCGUUAAGUCAGGGGUGAAAUCCUGGAGCUCAACUCCAGAACUGCCUUUGAUACUGGCGAUCUUGAGUUCGGGAGAGGUGAGUGGAACUGCGAGUGUAGAGGUGAAAUUCGUAGAUAUUCGCAAGAACACCAGUGGCGAAGGCGGCUCACUGGCCCGAUACUGACGCUGAGGUGCGAAAGCGUGGGGAGCAAAGCAG